CCAUUCACCUACUCGUUGCCAAGAAUUCGCUUCUCAUUUUGAGAAUAAAGUCACUCAGAUUCGUUCCGACCUGGACGCCAACAUCGACGUAGUCGGGAAGAUUGCACCUUUGGACUCUGUUAGUCCUAUUCAGUUAGAUUCUUUUCAGCCUCUUCAUUUUGAAGACAGAGACAAGAUCCUCGGUGAAAUGAGACCUACCACCUGCUCACUUGAUCCUUGUCCUUCUUGGAUCAUAAAGCAAGAUAGCCGGGACGAGGUCCAGAACAUCCAAGAAGCACGCACAGCAGGAUCUUGGUAGGCAUGACUUUAUGGAAUCAUAUGGCUUCCUUUAUGGAAUCAAUCCAUGUCUUGUUUGGCCUUCCUAUUUUUCUACCAGUUGUUUACCGGGCCCAAUUCAAGGUGUUGGUGUUGACCUUUAAAACCCUAUACGGUUUCGGCCCAGUAUAUCUGAAGGAACGCCUCCAGAAUCACCGAUUGUGCCGCCUGACGAGAUCAGCCUGGCAAGACCUUCUCUCGGUCCCACCGGUGAGAACAGCUAGGCUGGUACGGACCAGAGAGAGGGCAUUCUCUGUUGUGGCCCCCACCCUCUGGAACUCCCUCCCUUUCGAUCUCAGACAUGCUCCCUCCUUGUCCAGCUAUCGCCGAGCCUUGAAGACCUGGCUGUUCAGGCAGGCCUACAAGAUUGAGACAGAUUAGUUUUAUGUUAGAAUUGAAUUAACAGAUGAUUUCUUUAGUUUAAAAUUUGAUUAUGUUGAUGUAUAUGUAUUGCUUUUAUUCUUGUUGUUCGUCGCCUAGAGUGUCCCUAACCCGGACAGAUAGGCGGCUGAAAAAUAAAAUUUAUUAUUAUUAUUAUUA